rnacentral:tRNA from 1 species
GGUGCUGUGGCUUGGUUGGUUAAAGCACCUGUCUUGUAAACAGGAGAUCUGGUUCACCGUUAUAACCG